rnacentral:tRNA from 1 species
GAGGGUAUAGCUCAGUGGUAGAGUGCUUGCUUAGCAUGCUGGAGGUCCUGGGUUCAAUCCCCAGUACCUCCA